rnacentral:rRNA from 1 species
UACGUAGGGGGCUAGCGUUGUUCGGAUUUACUGGGCGUAAAGGGCGCGUAGGCGGUCGUGACAAGUCACUUGUGAAAUCUCCGGGCUUAACUCGGAACGGUCAAGUGAUACUGUCGGACUAGAGUACAGAAGGGGCAACUGGAAUUCUCGGUGUAGCGGUGAAAUGCGUAGAUAUCGAGAGGAACACCUGCGGCGAAGGCGGGUUGCUGGGCUGAUACUGACGCUGAGGCGCGAAAGCCAGGGGAGCGAACGGG